AGUAAAUGUGAAAGCAGAGGCAUGAUUAUGUCCAAAUGAAAAAAAAACAACAACUCUAUUUUUCAAGCAGUUUACAUUUGAAGCUAUGCAGCAGAAGGAGCUCUGACUGAGGAAAUACACAAAAUAGAAAAGCUGUCGCUUCCUCAAAUAUUUUUCUUUCAUCUUAAUUUCACAGAAGAAACUACAUAUGAUUAAGCUAACAGGUCUGUGACACUAAGUUAGCUCUGUGGACCAGCUCAUGGUGAGAUACUCAGAAUCAGACUGCAUUUCCAUUCACCUCUUUUUGGUGAUGAAGCUGAUUUAAGAAGCCUGUGAUGCAAUGCCAUCAUCCCACCCAUUAGUUACAGUUUGCCACCAGUCCAGUUUUCCAAUUGAUACCUAUUACUACCGUGAACAUAUAUAAAGUUGUCGGCAACAGUUUCAUUAGAGAAAUGAACACUGCAGACAUGCAAGCUUCCUGGGAGACUCUCUGAUGAAAGGAUAAAUAAAUUGAACAGAAAGACGCAGCAAGGAUCUGAGGAAUAGUCAUGAGUGGAAGACCCACAGUAACACAAUCAGUGAAAACCUAAUCAGUGAAAAUUAGAGCACACUGAAUCAGCUGCCUCCACAGCUAUCAAGAGAAAAUUAUUGUCCCUGGUGUGAAUCCCACUGAGAUGAGUCAACAGCAGAAACUCUCUCCCUCUCAGAGGUCUUCAGACUAAAAGGAGAUUAUUGCCUCCAAGUGUUGGAAUCCGAAACUCAACUGUCAGCAGAAAAGGAACUGAUAGGAUUAUGUAGCAGGCCAUGGACAGCAGGAGCUGGGAGAAACUCCUUACUCUGAGAAGCUUCAUCACAAGACCCAUUAAUAUUUA